AACGAACGCUGGCGGCAGGCCUAACACAUGCAAGUCGAACGCUCCGCAAGGGGAGUGGCGCACGGGUGAGUAACACGUGGGAACCUACCUUCUGGUACGGAACAACCAAGGGAAACUUUGGCUAAGACCGUAUACGACCUCCGGGUGAAAGAUUGAUCGCCGGAAGAGGGGCCCGCGUCCGAUUAGGUAGUUGGUGAGGUAACGGCUCACCAAGCCUUCGAUCGGUAGCUGGUCUGAGAGGAUGACCAGCCACACUGGGACUGAGACACGGCCCAGACUCCUACGGGAGGCAGCAGUGGGGAAUCUUGCGCAAUGGGCGAAAGCCUGACGCAGCGACGCCGCGUGAGGGAUGACGGCCUCGGUUGUAA
rnacentral:rRNA from 1 species